GGCCUUAUAGUCAAUGAUGAUAUCAGACUGCAAUUCUGGAGGAGUAAAUAUUGAUUUACUAAGGCUU
rnacentral:tRNA from 1 species